GACGAACGCUGGCGGCGUGCCUAAUACAUGCAAGUUGAGCGCUGAAGGUUGGUACUUGUACCAACUGGAUGAGCAGCGAACGGGUGAGUAACGCGUGGGGAAUCUGCCUUUGAGCGGGGGACAACAUUUGGAAACGAAUGCUAAUACCGCAUAAAAACUUUAAACACAAGUUUUAAGUUUGAAAGAUGCAAUUGCAUCACUCAAAGAUGAUCCCGCGUUGUAUUAGCUAGUUGGUGAGGUAAAGGCUCACCAAGGCGAUGAUACAUAGCCGACCUGAGAGGGUGAUCGGCCACAUUGGGACUGAGACACGGCCCAAACUCCUACGGGAGGCAGCAGUAGGGAAUCUUCGGCAAUGGACGAAAGUCUGACCGAGCAACGCCGCGUGAGUGAAGAAGGGUUUCGGAUCGUAAAACUCUGUUGGUAGAGAAGAACGUUGGUGAGAGUGGAAAGCUCAUCAAGUGACGGUAACUACACAGAAAGGGACGGCUAACUACGUG
rnacentral:rRNA from 1 species